GCCUUAGCUGCCGGAGGUUCCGCACUCUCUAAGGCCCUGGGUGAAGCCCCACCUCUGCUGCGCGCAGCCUGCGGUGCGGGUCAUGGCGCGGCUACCGAAGCUGGCAGUCUUUGAUUUGGGUGAGGGACGGGAAGGGGAGAAUUUCGUAAGGUGCUCUCCUUUUCCACAUCCCUAACAGCAGCUCCCGAAUCCCUGCGUCUCCCGCCCCAGGCUGAACCUUCCCUCUCCUUCCUCUCGCAGAUUACACUCUCUGGCCUUUCUGGGUCGACACACACGUAGACCCUCCGUUCCAUAAGAGCAGGUGAGGUAGGGACAGGGAAGACUGGGGCGAGAUAGGACCCAGCCAGGGCUGAGCGCACUCUUGCCCUCUCCAGUGAUGGAACUGUACGAGAUAGGCGGGGCCAAGACGUCCGACUGUACCCAGAGGUGCCUGAGGUCCUAAAACGAUUGCAGAGCCUUGGGGUGCCCGGUGCGGCUGCUUCAAGGACAAGUGAGAUAGAAGGGGCCAACCAGCUACUGGAGCUCUUUGACCUCUUCAGGUACUUUGUUCAUCGGGAAAUCUAUCCAGGCAGCAAGAUCACACACUUUGAGAGGUUGCAGCAGAAGACUGGAAUUCCUUUCUCCCAGAUGAUCUUCUUUGAUGAUGAGAGGCGGAAUAUUGUAGAUGUCAGCAAACUGGGUGUUACCUGCAUUCACAUCCAGAAUGGAAUGAAUCUUCAAACUCUAAGUCAAGGGUUAGAGACAUUUGCGAAGGCCCAAACUGGGCCUUGAGGUCCAGCCUUGAGGAGAGCCCAUUUGAGGCCUAAACUGAAAGGAAAUCAAGAAGGCAUUUUCAGGUGCAUUUGUAAUUUAUUAAAGUUCAUCUGUGUGUGACAGAAGAGAUUUUA
rnacentral:sRNA from 1 species